rnacentral:rRNA from 1 species
GUGAGGAAUUUUGCGCAAUGGGGGAAACCCUGACGCAGCAACGCCGCGUGAGUGAUGAAGGCCUUCGGGUCGUAAAGCUCUGUCAAGUGGGAAGAACCCGGUUGAAUAUAAUACAUUUAACCGCUGACGGUACCACUGAAGGAAGCACCGGCUAACUCCGUGCCAGCAGCCGCGGUAAUACGGAGGGUGCAAGCGUUAUUCGGAAUCAUUGGGCGUAAAGCGCGCGUAGGCGGUUUUUUAAGUCGGAUGUGAAAGCCCGGGGCUCAACCCCGGAAGUGCAUUCGAAACUGAAAGACUUGAGUAUGGGAGAGGGAAGUGGAAUUCCUGGUGUAGAGGUGAAAUUCGUAGAUAUCAGGAGGAACACCGGUGGCGAAGGCGACUUCCUGGACCAAUACUGACGCUGAGGCGCGAAGGCGUGGGUAGCAAACAGGAUUAGAAACCCUGGUAGUCC